AUCAACGCUGGCGGCGCGCUUAACACAUGCAAGUCGAACGAGAAAGGGGAGCAAUCUCCGAGUAAAGUGGCGUACGGGUGAGUAACACGUGGGUAAUCUACCUCUUGGUGGGGAAUAACCCUGGGAAACCGGGGCUAAUACCGCAUAAGUCUGAAAAGAGAAAGGCGCAAGUCGCCGGGAGAGGAGCCCGCGGCCGAUUAGCUAGUUGGUAGGGUAAAGGCCUACCAAGGCGAAGAUCGGUAGCCGGCCUGAGAGGGCACACGGCCACACUGGCACUGAAACACGGGCCAGACUCCUACGGGAGGCAGCAGUGGGGAAUCUUGCACAAUGGGGGAAACCCUGAUGCAGCGACGCCGCGUGAGCGAUGAAGCCCUUCGGGGUGUAAAGCUCUUUCGGCAGGAACGAUAAUGACGGUACCUGAAGAAGAAGCUGCGGCUAACUACGUGCCAGCCGCCGCGGUAAU
rnacentral:rRNA from 1 species